AGGGGCGUAGCUCAGCCGGCCAGAGCGCUGGUCUCCAAAACCAGAUGUCGCAGGUUCGACCCCUGCCGCCCCUG
rnacentral:tRNA from 1 species